AGAGUUUGAUCAUGGCUCAGAUUGAACGCUAGCGGGAUGCUUUACACAUGCAAGUCGAACGGCAGCACGAGAGAGCUUGCUCUCUUGGUGGCGAGUGGCGGACGGGUGAGUAAUAUAUCGGAACGUGCCCAGUAGCGGGGGAUAACUACUCGAAAGAGUGGCUAAUACCGCAUACGCCCUACGGGGGAAAGGGGGGGAUCGCAAGACCUCUCACUAUUGGAGCGGCCGAUAUCGGAUUAGCUAGUUGGUGGGGUAAAGGCUCACCAAGGCAACGAUCCGUAGCUGGUUUGAGAGGACGACCAGCCACACUGGGACUGAGACACGGCCCAGACUCCUAUGGGAGGCAGCAGUGGGGAAUUUUGGACAAUGGGGGAAACCCUGAUCCAGCCAUCCCGCGUGUAUGAUGAAGGCCUUCGGGUUGUAAAGUACUUUUGGCAGAGAAGAAAAGGCAUCCCCUAAUACGGGAUGCUGCUGACGGUAUCUGCAGAAUAAGCACCGGCUAACUACGUGCCAGCAGCCGCGGUAAUACGUAGGGUGCAAGCGUUAAUCGGAAUUACUGGGCGUAAAGCGUGUGUAGGCGGUUCGGAAAGAAAGAUGUGAAAUCCCAGGGCUCAACCUUGGAACUGCAUUUUUAACUGCCGAGCUAGAGUAUGUCAGAGGGGGGUAGAAUUCCACGUGUAGCAGUGAAAUGCGUAGAUAUGUGGAGGAAUACCGAUGGCGAAGGCAGCCCCCUGGGGUAAUACUGACGCUCAGACACGAAAGCGUGGGGAGCAAACAGGAUUAGAUACCCUGGUAGUCCACGCCCUAAACGAUGUCAACUAGCUGUUGGGGCCGUUAGGCCUUAGUAGCGCAGCUAACGCGUGAAGUUGACCGCCUGGGGAGUACGGUCGCAAGAUUAAAACUCAAAGGAAUUGACGGGGACCCGCACAAGCGGUGGAUGAUGUGGAUUAAUUCGAUGCAACGCGAAAAACCUUACCUACCCUUGACAUGUCUGGAAUGCCGAAGAGAUUUGGCAGUGCUCGCAAGAGAACCGGAACACAGGUGCUGCAUGGCUGUCGUCAGCUCGUGUCGUGAGAUGUUGGGUUAAGUCCCGCAACGAGCGCAACCCUUGUCAUUAGUUGCUACGCAAGAGCACUCUAAUGAGACUGCCGGUGACGAACCGGAGGAAGGUGGGGAUGACGUCAAGUCCUCAUGGCCCUUAUGGGUAGGGCUUCACACGUCAUACAAUGGUCGGGACAGAGGGUCGCCAACCCGCGAGGGGGAGCCAAUCUCAGAAACCCGAUCGUAGUCCGGAUCGCAGUCUGCAACUCGACUGCGUGAAGUCGGAAUCGCUAGUAAUCGCGGAUCAGAAUGUCGCGGUGAAUACGUUCCCGGGUCUUGUACACACCGCCCGUCACACCAUGGGAGUGGGUUUCACCAGAAGUAGGUAGCCUAACCGUAAGGAGGGCGCUUACCACGGUGGGAUUCAUGACUGGGGUGAAGUCGUAACAAGGUAGCCGUA
rnacentral:rRNA from 1 species